AGAGUUUGAUCCUGGCUCAGGACGAACGCUGGCGGCGUGCCUAACACAUGCAAGUCGAACGGGGUAAAGACUUCGGUUUUUACUUAGUGGCGAACGGGUGAGUAACGCGUGAGAAACCUGCCUUUCAGUGGGGGACAACAGUUGGAAACGACUGCUAAUACCGCAUAAUGUUAUUUGGGGGCAUCCUUGAAUAACCAAAGCUUUAUGUGCUGAAAGAUGGUCUCGCGUCUGAUUAGCUAGUUGGUGGGGUAACGGCCUACCAAGGCGACGAUCAGUAGCCGACCUGAGAGGGUGACCGGCCACAUUGGGACUGAGACACGGCCCAAACUCCUACGGGAGGCAGCAGUGGGGAAUAUUGCACAAUGGGCGAAAGCCUGAUGCAGCGACGCCGCGUGAGUGAAGAAGUAUUUCGGUAUGUAAAGCUCUAUCAGCAGGGAAGAAAAUGACGGUACCUGACUAAGAAGCUCCGGCUAAAUACGUGCCAGCAGCCGCGGUAAUACGUAUGGAGCAAGCGUUAUCCGGAUUUACUGGGUGUAAAGGGAGUGUAGGUGGCAUGGCAAGUCAGAAGUGAAAGCCCGGGGCUCAACCCCGGGACUGCUUUUGAAACUGUCACGCUUGAGUGCAGGAGAGGUAAGCGGAAUUCCUAGUGUAGCGGUGAAAUGCGUAGAUAUUAGGAGGAACACCAGUGGCGAAGGCGGCUUACUGGACUGUAACUGACACUGAGGCUCGAAAGCGUGGGUAGCAAACAGGAUUAGAUACCCUGGUAGUCCACGCUGUAAACGAUGAUUACUAGGUGUGGGAGGUAUCGACUCCUUCCGUGCCGGAGUUAACACAAUAAGUAAUCCACCUGGGGAGUACGACCGCAAGGUUGAAACUCAAAGGAAUUGACGGGGGCCCGCACAAGCAGUGGAGUAUGUGGUUUAAUUCGAAGCAACGCGAAGAACCUUACCUGGGCUUGACAUCCUGAGAAUCCGCAAGAGAUUGUGGAGUGCCUUCGGGAACUCAGUGACAGGUGGUGCAUGGUUGUCGUCAGCUCGUGUCGUGAGAUGUUGGGUUAAGUCCCGCAACGAGCGCAACCCUUACUGUUAGUUGCCAUCAUUAAGUUGGGCACUCUAACGGGACUGCCGGUGACAAAUCGGAGGAAGGUGGGGAUGACGUCAAAUCAUCAUGCCCCUUAUGUCCAGGGCUACACACGUACUACAAUGGUGAGAACAGAGGGAAGCAAAACAGUGAUGUGGAGCAAAUCGCUAAAUCUCAUCUCAGUUCAGAUUGUAGGCUGCAACUCGCCUACAUGAAGUCGGAAUUGCUAAUAAUCGCGGAUCAGCAUGCCGCGGUGAAUACGUUCCCGGGCCUUGUACACACCGCCCGUCA
rnacentral:rRNA from 1 species